rnacentral:rRNA from 1 species
AGAAUCAACGCUGGCGGCGUGCCUAACACAUGCAAGUCGAACGAGAAAGUGGAGCAAUCCAUGAGUAAAGUGGCGCACGGGUGAGUAACACGUGACUAACCUACCCUUGAGUGGGGAAUAACUGAGGGAACCUUAGCUAAUACCGCAUAACACCUACGGGCCAAAGGAGCAAUUCGCUUAAGGAGGGGUCGCGGCAGAUUAGUUAGUUGGCGGGGUAAUGGCCCACCAAGACAGUGAUCUGUA